rnacentral:lncRNA from 1 species
CUGGACAACAAAGCAAGACACUGUUGCAAAAAAAAAAAAAAGAAAAGAAAAAGAAAAAAGAAUUAUCAACUCUUACUGUCCCUGAACAUUGAAGAUCAAGAGAUCAAUGACAUUCUAAAUGUUGGAAUUUACAGUCUUCCAGUCUCCUGGACCACAAUGUACAGUUAAUAGAUCUUUCCAAGCUUUAUGGUACUGAAUCCCUAAUUAGCAUUCCACUGAAGAGCUCUUAAGGAACUGAAAAGGAACUGCUGCGUACCACUCCUGCUGAUGGGUAAUUAACAAGUAUUCACAAGUAUUGCACUUACCUCCAAGAAAAACACCUGCAAGUUUGUAUUCUCC